UACGGGGGGUGCGAGCGUUGUCCGGAAUCACUGGGCGUAAAGGGCGCGUAGGUGGUUUGAUAAGGGUGUGGUGAAAGUCCGGGGCUCAACCCCGGAUCUGCCGUGCCGACUGUCAAACUCGAGGACUGUAGAGGCAGACGGAAUUCCGGGUGUAGCGGUGGAAUGCGUAGAGAUCCGGAGGAAGACUGGUGGCGAAGGCGGCCUGCUGGGCAGUUUUGCUGACACUGAGGCGCGACAGCGUGGGGAGCAAACAGGG
rnacentral:rRNA from 1 species